rnacentral:rRNA from 1 species
GGGCAGCAUAAAAAUAGCUUGCUAUUUUGGUGGCGACCGGCGCACGGGUGAGUAACGCGUAUGCAACCUACCUUACACUGGGGGAUAGCCCGAAGAAAUUCGGAUUAAUACCCCAUAGUAUUAUCGAGAGGCAUUUUUUGAUAAUUAAAGCUCCGGCGGUGUAAGAUGGGCAUGCGUCCCAUUAGCUAGAUGGUGAGGUAACGGCUCACCAUGGCUACGAUGGGUAGGGGGCCUGAGAGGGUGGUCCCCCACACUGGUACUGAGACACGGACCAGACUCCUACGGGAGGCAGCAGUGAGGAAUAUUGGUCAAUGGGCGCAAGCCUGAACCAGCCAUGCCGCGUGAAGGAUGAAGGUUCUAUGGAUUGUAAACUUCUUUUAUUUGGGAAUAAACCUCGGGACGUGUCCCGAGCUGAAGGUACCAAACGAAUAAGCACCGGCUAACUCCGUGCCAGCAGCCGCGGUAAUACGGAGGGUGCAAGCGUUAUCCGGAAUCAUUGGGUUUAAAGGGUCCGCAGGCGGAUGUAUAAGUCAGUGGUGAAAGCCUACAGCUCAACUGUAGAACUGCCAUUGAUACUGUACGUCUUGAAUUCGGUCGAAGUGGGCGGAAUAUGACAUGUAGCGGUGAAAUGCUUAGAUAUGUCAUAGAACACCGAUAGCGAAGGCAGCUCACUAGACCUGGAUUGCGCUCAAGGACGAAACCUGGGGAGCAA